AUUGAAUGCUGGAGGCAGGCCUAACACAUGCCAGUCGAGAGGAGCGGGGGAACGGUAAGGAAUGCCUAGGAAUCUGCCUGGUAGAGGGGGACAACGUCGGGAAACGGGCGCUAAUACCGCAUACUAACAGACGAGACUAGGUCGGAUUAGCAAGUUGGUUGGGUAAAGGCCUACCAAGGAGACGAUGCGUAACUGGUCUGGGAGGAUGAUCAGGCACACUGGAACUGAGACACGGUCCAGACUCCUACGGGAGGCAGCAGUGGGGAAUAUUGGACAAGGGGCUAAAGCCUGAUCCAGCCAUGCCGCGUGUGUGAAGAAGGUCUUCGGAUUUUAAAGCACUUUAGGUUGGGAGGCGUUACCAACAGAAUAAGCACCGGCUAACUUCGUGCCAGCAGCCGCGGUAAUUC
rnacentral:rRNA from 1 species